CCCCCCCCCCUUACUAUGUUUAUCCUCUCUUCUUCUUCUUCUUCCUUACCUUCUCCUCUCUCUCUCUCUUCCUCUAGGGUUUCUCUCUCUCCUCCCUCCUCCUCUUCUCUCACUCUCCUCCCCCUUUCUCCCCACUUCCAACCUCCCAACCUCGCCUGCUCCUGCUCCGUUGCUUCCAGAUCAACGGCGGAGCUUCUGCACGACUUCAAGCACUCCGCUCAUACCGCUGCCUCCGCUGAUGAAACGAGGAAUCACCUGCCGCAUUCCCGCGCAUUCCUUGAUGUUCGCUCUGAACAAGAGUUGCUCUCCUACAUCAGGAGGGAGGCAGAAGCUGGAAGGCUGCCUUCAAAUGUUGCUGCAGGAAUGGAAGAAUUGUAUCAGAAUUAUAAAAAUGCCGUUCUUAAGAGUGGAAAUCCAAAGGCAGAUGAAAUUGUUUUGUCUAACAUGACUGUUGCAUUAGAUCGCAUAUUGCUGGAUGUGGAGGAACCUUUUGUCUUCUCACCACACCACAAAGCAGUUCGAGAGCCUUUUGAUUACUACACGUUUGGUCAGAACUAUGUCCGUCCACUGAUUGAUUUUGAAAAUUCAUUUGUUGGUAACCCUUUUCUUUUCAAGGAUAUAGAGGAGAAGCUCCAUCAGGGUCACAAUGUUGUCUUGAUAUCAAAUCAUCAGACUGAAGCAGAUCCAGCUAUUAUUUCAUUGUUGCUUGAAAAGACAAGUCCAUAUAUUGCUGAAAACAUGAUAUAUGUAGCUGGGGAUAGAGUUAUUGUAGACCCUCUUUGCAAGCCCUUCAGCAUUGGAAGAAAUCUUAUUUGUGUUUAUUCAAAAAAGCACAUGUUUGAUAUUCCCGAGCUUGCAGAAACAAAAAGGAAAGCAAACACACGAAGUCUAAAGGAGAUGGCUUUACUUUUAAGGGGUGGAUCGCAACUCAUUUGGAUUGCACCAAGUGGUGGCCGGGACCGAUUGGAUCCAUCAUCUGGAGAAUGGUCACCAGCACCCUUUGAUGCUUCUUCAAUGGACAACAUGAGAAGGCUCAUUCAACACUCGGGUGUUCCUGGGCAUUUGUGUCCCCUUGCUUUAUUAUGUUAUGACAUCAUGCCACCUCCUUCAAAGGUAGAAAUUGAAAUUGGAGAAAAAAGAGUGAUUUCCUUUAAUGGGGUGGGCUUGUCUUUGGCUCCUGCAAUCAGCUUCGAGGCCAUUGCUGCUACCCACAGAAAUCCUGAUGAGGCUAGGGAGGCAUACUCAAAGGCUCUGUUUGAUUCUGUGUCCAUGCAAUAUAAUGUGCUCAAAGCUGCUAUUUACGGCAGACAAGCACUAAGAGCAUCAACUGCAGAUGUCUCUUUGUCGCAACCUUGGAUCUAGUCAUUUGCAAUCGUUUUUCUAGAUCAGUUCAUUAUAUAAUCAGGUCAUGACAUAAUUUGACACAAUUUUGCGACUCACAGAACAACACUGGUCAUUCAAUUCGUGCACGAACUGUAAGAGGAAAUCAAUUCUGUCACUCGUCAUCGACGUCUCGAGGGAAUUUUGCUGAUUUACAGGCCUGUCCCUACCCCAAGGCAUGUGCAUUUCAAUAGACAUUGAAGCUGCCUCAAAUACUUGGCCUCUUGAUGUAUGAGAGAGAAGAAAGAACGAGUCUCUCAAUCCGUAUCGAAAUUCAGAUUUCAUCCUUUGCCAUAUUGUGCUAGACGUUUGAUUCAUCUUCUUACCACGACCUACUGAUGGCAAAGGCAAACAUAACGGAAUGACUAUUGCAAACCCAAUACAAUACAAAAAGUUGAUUAGUUGCAGGUGCGCUUUUUAUGUAUUUCAAUCACGCUUACUAUAAGUUGAAUUAUACAUCAAUUUUAUAACUAAGACCUUUUGAACA